UUAAAGAGUGCGUAACAGCUCACUAGUCGAGCGGUCCGGCAUGGAUAAUAAUCGGGCAUAAAUAGAGUACCGAAGCUAUGGAUUUACAACUAAGGGUUGUAUCUGGUAGGGGAGCAUUCUGUUUGCACAGAAGCAGUGUCGUGAGGCAUUGUGGAGCGUACAGAAAAGAAAAUGUAGGCAUAAGUAACGAUAAGGCAGGCGAGAAACCUGCCCGCCGAUAGACCAAGGGUUCCUGAUCAACGUUAAUCGGAUCAGGGUCAGUCGGGUCCUAAGGGUACCCCGAAAGGGGAAACCGAUGGCAAACUGGUUAAUAUUCCAGUACCCGCACCGGCUGCGAAGGGGUUACGGAGAAGUGAAAGGACCGCGUACUGACGGAAUAGUACGUUGAAGGGAGUAGAUAUAUUUUCUGUAGGCAAAUCCGCAGAGAAUGUCGAAUCUGAUAGUACGGCAAAGCUUCGGCGGCGCCGAUAGUGUCCCUAAGCAAGCUCCCUAGAAACCCCCCUAAGCUUCAGGCCGGUUGCGGUCCGUACCGCAAACCGACACAGGU
rnacentral:rRNA from 1 species